rnacentral:rRNA from 1 species
CCUACGGGAGACAGCAGUGGGGAAUAUUGCACAAUGGGGGGAACCCUGAUGCAGCAACGCCGCGUGGGUGAAGAAGUACUUCGGUAUGUAAAGCCCUGUCAGCAGGGAAGAAAAUGACGGUACCUGACCAAGACUCCCCGGCUCACUCCGUGCCAGCAGCCGCGGUCAUACGUAGGGGGCAAGCGUUCUCCGGAUGUACUGGGUGUAAAGGGAGCGUAGACGGCAAGGCAAGUCUGGAGGGAAAGCCCUUGGCUCACCCACGGUACUGCUUUGGAAACUGUGUGGCGGGAGGGCAGGAGGGGGAAGAGGAAGGCCUAGUGUAGAAGUGAAAUGCGUAGAUAGUAGGAGGAAAACCGGUGGCGAAGGAGGCUGACUGGACUGUAACUGACGGGGAGGCUAGAAGGCGUGGGGAGCAAAAAGGAUUAGAUACCCUUGUAGUA